GCGUUCCUAAGAAGGAGAAAAGGCUGUGACAAAGGGAGGUUGGACAAACCCUUGGGAGGUGGCCUGCUUCUGUAUCUAACCUUGAAGCCACGAUAUGCCAAAGGAAAACCAAUGAGUCAAACAACCCCCAAAACUAAUCAAUUUGAAGAAUAUGUACAGCUGUGACGAGUGACCCCUGUGUAUUGAAGGUGAGUUUUCAAUGUUCUAGAAACUCUGGGCAAUGAAAAU
rnacentral:lncRNA from 1 species